CUUAUACAUUAUUAUUAACUUCUGAUUGUAAUAUCAAAUCAUUUUUCGGUUUAACAUUAAGUUUCUUUGCUUUUACACAUGCCAUCUGAAAUAUAAUUUUGUUACAGGAUGGGUAGAGAUAUUUGCUAUGCCACACAAACGUCUAGCUAGAAUACUAGCAUGAUCUAUGAGCAAUUACUUUAGCCAGCAGCAACCUGGAAUUUCAGUAGGGUUCAACAAUUCCUCACUUCAGCAACCUAAUAUAUUAACAAGUAGCCAUACACAGUAGACAUUGGCUACAUGUAGUCAGCAACCCCCACCAACACACAUUUAGGAGCCUCUAUAGGCAUGCAAUCAGCAACCCUCACAAGCUGUUGAUCAUCAUGCCGAACCAAGUGCUACUGAUUCUUUGCCCACACAGAAACACAAUGGUAUAAAAAUUUUGGCAUAAAUUAUAUUCUAUUCAGAUUGAUUGUUCAAUACUAUAAAUAUUAGUGUCCUUUCUAUUGACAUUACAUAAGCUAACAAUUUGUGCAUGCGUAUAUAUGUGAUAUUGAAUAUAAUCUAUAGUUCAUAAGAAGAGGGGACGGAGGCCUACAAGAUGUGCUGAUUUAUGGAAGUCCAGGGAACACCUCAUUGUUGACAUAAAUGAGUCAGGCCAGCCUAUAAGUAAAAAUGAAUAAAAAUAUGCUAACUUCUUAAGCACAAUUGCUUGAAGAAGCGAUUUGGAUCCUAUUACAUACCCUGAUUGGAGAGCAGCACCAUUCUGUCUAAAGAAAAAGAUAUGGGAGAUAGUGCUAGUAUGUCACACAUUGCCAAUUAUUUUUUUAAUGUAAUCUAUAUUAUUUACAUGUUCUAAUUUUUAUUUUCAAUAUUGUUCCAAUAGUGCCUCGAACAUAUAAAUCUUUAAUUAAUAAGAUUUGGUUCAAAUUGAAUUUAUUUUUCUUAUUAUAUGUGCUGUAGAGUAAGGUCCAAAUUGAUCCAGCCAAAGCCUGAAGUAUAUUUUCUCUUUCUAGGAAGUGGAAGGAUUGGAAAAAUGAAUUGAAGCCACACUUCUUUGAUGUAUAUGAGAUCGAUGAGCAGAAGAAGAAUACUAUAUGCAAAGAUCUAAGAGAUUUUCAAGAUUAAUGGCAUAUAUAUAUUUGCAGUUUCUUCUUUUCGAUGAAGCAAAGGUAACUAUCAAGUAUUGCAUACAUUUGUUAAUGAAUUUUUCAUAUAAUCAGCUUAUAAAACUUUGUCAUUGAUAAAAGAAAUGUAGCGAGAUUCAAUCAUGCAAUGCAAAACAUGAGCCACGCUGCUGGAGUCAAAAGCUUUGCCACAAUCAAGAAUGAUAAGG
rnacentral:lncRNA from 1 species